rnacentral:rRNA from 1 species
CGGUAAUUCCAGCUCCAAUAGCGUAUACUAAAGUUGUUGCAGUUAAAAAGCUCGUAGUUGGAUUUCUGCGGGGACGGAGCGGCCGGUCGCAACUUGCGACUCGAGCUAGCGCUUUCCCCGCAUCCUGCCGCGAACCGUGCUACCAUUAGCUUGGUGGCGCUGGGGAUCGGCUCGAUUACUUUGAGAAAAAUAGAGUGUUCAAAGCAGGCCACACGCCUUGAAUAAGUUAGCAUGGAAUAAUGACUAAGGACUUCGGUUCUAUUUUGUUGGUGUUCGGGACUGAAGUAAUGAUUGAUAGGGACAGUUGGGGCGGUCUGUAUUCCAAAGCGAGAGGUGAAAUUCUUAGACCUUCGGAAGACAAACAGCUGCGAAAGCGUUCCGCAAGGAUGUUCCCUUUGAUCAAGAACGAAGGUUGGGGGAUCGAAGACGAUCAGAUACCGUCGUAGUCUCAACUAUAAACUAUACCAGCUAGGGAUCGGUCAACGUUUAAUCAUUCGACUUGAUCGGCACCUUAUGAGAAAUCAAAGCAUCUGGGUUCCGGGGGGAGUAUGGUCGCAAGGCUGAAACUUAAAGGAAUUGACGGAAGGGCACCACCAGCCGUGGAGCCUGUGGCUUAAUUUGACUCAACACGGGAAAACUUACCAGGUCCAGACAUAGUAAGGAUUGACAGAUUGAUAGCUCUUUCUUGAUUCUGUGGGUGGUGGUGCAUGGCCGUUCUUAGUUGGUGGAGUGAUUUGUCUGGUUAAUUCCGUUAACGAACGAGACCCCAGCCUGCUAAAUAGCGCGGCUGAGCUUUGCUCGGUGCGAGCUUCUUAGAGGGACUAUGAUGCGCGAUAGCACAUGGAAGUUUGGGGCAAUAACAGGUCUGUGAUGCCCUUAGAUGUUCUGGGCCGCACACGGGCUACACUGGCGCCUGCAACGAGCAUAUCAGCUGGCCCGAGAGGGUCUUGGCUAAUCUUUUGAACCGGCACCAUACUUGGAAUUGACCAUUGCAAUUGUUGGUCAUACAACGAGGAAUGCCUUGUAAACGCGAGUCAUCAGCUCGCAUUGAAUACGUCCCUGCCCUUUGUACACACCGCCCGUCGCUCCUACCGAUGAAUGUUCCGAUGAAAUUUUCGGAGAGCGCCAGAGAACGGGGCUCCGCCUUGCAGAUCUGGAGGCUCAAAGUCACUUAAAUCUGAACAUUUCGAGGAAGGAGAAGUCGUAACAAGGUAGCCG